CGUGUAGGCGGCCAGAUAAGUCCGCUGUGAAAUCUCGAGGCUCAACUUCGAGCUGUCGGUGGAAACUGUCUGGCUAGAGUCCGGAAGAGGAGAAUGGAAUUCCUGGUGUAGCGGUGAAAUGCGCAGAUAUCAGGAAGAACACCCGUGGCGAAGGCGGUUCUCUGGGACGGUACUGACGCUGAGACGCGAAGCGUGGGAGCGAACA
rnacentral:rRNA from 1 species